UGAGGGGUCGUCUAAUGGUAGGACGCUGGCCUUUGGAGCCAAGAACGGAGGUUCGAAUCCUCCCCCCUCAGCCA
rnacentral:tRNA from 1 species